UACGGGGGGAGCAAGCGUUGUUCGGAUUUACUGGGCGUAAAGGGCGCGUAGGCGGCCAGCACAAGUCAGUUGUGAAAUCUCCGGGCUUAACUCGGAAAGGUCAACUGAUACUGUGCGGCUAGAGUGCAGAAGGGGCAACUGGAAUUCUCGGUGUAGCGGUGAAAUGCGUAGAUAUCGAGAGGAACACCUGCGGCGAAGGCGGGUUGCUGGGCUGACACUGACGCUGAUGCGCGAAAGCUAGGGGAGCAAACAGG
rnacentral:rRNA from 1 species